CUUCGGGUUGUAAAGUUCUUUCGCCAAGGAACAAGGGAGGUUAGAUAAUACCUAGCCGACUUGAGCGUACUUGGUAAAGAAGCACCGGCUAACUCCGUGCCAGCAGCUGCGGUAAUACGGAGGGUGCAAGCAUUAAUCGGAAUUAUUGGGCGUAAAGAGCGCGUAGGCGGAUAAAUUAGUCAGAUGUGAAAUUCCGGGGCUUAACCUCGGAGCUGCAUUUGAAACUGUUUAUCUUGAGGACGGGCGGAGAAAAUGGAAUUCCAUGUGUAGCGGUGAAAUGCGUAGAUAUAUGGAAGAACACCUGUGGCGAAAGCGGUUUUCUAGCUUGGUCCUGACGCUGAGGCGCGAGAGCAAGGGGAGCAAACAGGAUUAGAUACCCUGGUAGUCCUUGCCGUAAACGAUGCAUACUUGGUGUAGUUGGAUUCAACCCCGACUGUGCCGUAGCUAACGUGAUAAGUAUGCCGCCUGAGGAGUACGCUCGCAAGGGUGAAACUCAAAAGAAUUGACGGGGGCCCGCACAAGCAGUGGAGCAUGUGGUUUAAUUCGAUGCAACGCGAAGAACCUUACCCAGGUUUGACAUCUAGAGGACGUAACCAGAGAUGGUUAUUCUCGUAAGAGCCUUUAGACAGGUGCUGCAUGGCUGUCGUCAGCUCGUGCCGUGAGGUGUUGGGUUAAGUCCCGCAACGAGCGCAACCCUUGUCGCUAGUUACCAGCAUGUUAUGAUGGGGACUCUAGCGAUACUGCCUAGGUUAACUAGGAGGAAGGUAAGGAUGACGUCAAGUCCGCAUGGCCUUUAUAUCUGGGGCUACACACGUGCUACAAUGGUCGGUACAGAAGGCGGCGAAGCCGAAAGGUGGAGCAAAUCC
rnacentral:rRNA from 1 species